rnacentral:tRNA from 2 species
GCCGAUGUGGCUCAGGGGUAGAGCAGCUGAUUCGUAAUCAGCAGGCCGUGGGUUCAAAUCCCAUCAUCGGCU